AUGGAAGCAGGCAAUGAGCCAGAGGAGAGGCAGAGAAUAGACAUGACUGUGCUCCAAAGCUUCUCCUGUGAUCUGUGGCUUUUUCUAGACUGUGGUUCAAGGGGAAUUGGCAAAGAACAUCCAAGGAGAAGACAUCUGAUAUCAGGUCAUUAGCAAGGUAGGUAAUAGGUACCCUGUAACAAAAGGAUUAAAAUCUCCUUCAGAUGACACAAUUUAUUUUUCCCCUCCAGGAAAUAUGGAAAUUGAGACGUACUUGGGUCCUGGCUAGGGUCUUUUAGACUAGAGAUUUUAUAUGAAACAUAAAGUAAAUUUUAAAAAGCUUCUGUUGAGAGCAAAUUUGACAGAGAUUGUAUGGGGAAAGCUGAUCACUUGCAUCCUACAGAAAAGGAAAGAAUUAGUUUUCAUUGAAUCCUAGAAGGUAUGCAUGUGGGGGAGAGGGAACAGAAUCACAUUGAUGAAACCUAAUUUUAUUUGCAGUAAAAUUCAGUAUCAUCCUUUUUAUCUACUCAUCCAUGCUGACAUUCUCAGAGAAUAUUGACAGGGUUUUAGGGUAUUUAGGCAGAUAUGAGACAGCCUUGUGCCUUGCAAUUAUUCUUGUCAGGUUUUCACUAAUAAGAGGUACUAAUAAGAUACUUUAGGCCAACUCUGAAAGGAAAAUUGGAAUGUGAAACAUCAAGGUAAUGUGACUAAGGAAAUCACUUAUUUCUCAGAAGUAGAGAGGCUAUUUGCAACAAGAAUCUGUUGUAGACAGUAGGUCUCACCAUUUUUACACAGCACAGAGUGAAAUGGAGAAUUGGUAAUCACCAGGUUAUUUCAAAUGAUAUAUAGUCAAUGUGGCUAAUUCAGGAUUUAUAACUGGUUGAUCUGCUAAAAUAAAAUGCCUACAGCAGCAUAUAAAAUGGAUUAU
rnacentral:lncRNA from 1 species